AUAAACUUAGUUAAAAUAAAUAUAACACCAGUUUGUCAAACUGAAGUCAACCCCCGUUAGUUUAUAC
rnacentral:tRNA from 1 species